CCUACGGGAGGCAGCAGUGGGGAAUAUUGGACAAUGGGGGCAACCCUGAUCUAGCCAUGCCGCGUGAGUGAUGAAGGCCUUAGGGUUGUAAAGCUCUCUCAGCUGGGAAGAUAAUGACGGUACCAGCAGAAGAAGCCCCGGCUAACUCCGUGCCAGCAGCCGCGGUAAU
rnacentral:rRNA from 1 species